GAUGAACGCUGGCGGCGUGCUUAACACAUGCAAGUCGAACGAAGCACUUUAUUUGAUUUCCUUCGGGACUGAUUAUUUUGUGACUGAGUGGCGGACGGGUGAGUAACGCGUGGGUAACCUGCCUUGUACAGGGGGAUAACAGUUGGAAACGGCUGCUAAUACCGCAUAAGCGCCCAGCAUCGCAUGAUGCAGUGUGAAAAACUCCGGUGGUAUAGGAUGGACCCGCGUUGGAUUAGCUAGUUGGUGAGGUAACGGCCCACCAAGGCGACGAUCCAUAGCCGACCUGUGAGAGUGACCGGCCACAUUGGGACUGAGACACGGCCCAAACUCCUACGGGAGGCAGCAGUGGGGAAUAUUGCACAAUGGGCGAAAGCCUGAUGCAGCGACGCCGCGUGAGCGAAGAAGUAUUUCGGUAUGUAAAGCUCUAUCAGCAGGGAAGAUAAUGACGGUACCUGACGAAGAAGCACCGGCUAAAUACGUG
rnacentral:rRNA from 1 species